ACAACAGCUUAUAAUAAUUCUUGCGAAUUGGGCAAUAGCCCGCACUAGCCUUCGGAAAUAUUAUUGGAGUAAUUGAUUAAACAGCAGUUUAAUCACAUGCAGGUGCAACGUGACUUGGCGUCGACCAUAGGUUUCAUUUAGGCUUAAGAAAUUAAUAUUGUUUAAUCUUAAGUUUGCUGAUAAUAAAUAAAGACACAGCGGACGCGAGUCCGCUUAAUUUUAAAAUGCCUUAAUUUAAUGUAAGACUUUGACUGGCGCCCAAGCAGGGCUUAAGUUCGUGCACCACGUAUAGCCCUUUGGCCAUAGAUGUCAACGCGUCGUGAAAGUAAUUUAGUAAAAGUGCUCGUAAAGCUAACGCGUAGUGAAAGUGAAAAGGCAAAAGUCGCCUGAGAAAAAACAGCCGUACUAGUCGUCCUAAACGACUUAAGCACACUUGCCGGUCCUGAACACAUCAAUCCAGCGUUGGAUUCCGGUAGGAAAAGAACGCACACCUUCAUUCGUGCGCAUCGAGGGAGCCCAAGUCAAACGACGAAGAUGCAAUAAGCCUAACAGAAAACGGCGGCAUAUUGGAAGUCGGCGAUUUGGGCGAAAACGCAAACGUGGCAGGUGGCUACAGAACGCGGAAUCCACGACACCAAUUACGUGGAACAAUAUGGCAGGAGUCGAACCCUUGCCCAAUGCCCUAAUCGAUGACAUCGAGGCGUAUAUACAACAACCACAUCAGCGGCGGAUGAGGCGAUCAUUUAAACGCCAUAUCGAGGCGUAAGGAUCACACGUACGGGCCUGGUGCCAAUAAGUCUCGCAGCGGGAAGUGAGGGGAGGGUGUAGGGACCCCAAAAUCUAAGGUUUUUGGAGACCUCCCAACACACAUAAACUCAUAUAAAAAUAUGUUUGAAUUUAAAUGAAAUCUUUGAAAUUUUAAAUAUAUAUAUAUGCACCGAGCGUAAAAAUUGCAACAUCAAAGGCUGCAUAAAGAAACAAUACGAACUGUUACAUCUUAGGCGACAAGAAACGACAAAUGGUCAGAGUUCCACGGAAGCUAUAAGAAGGCGGAAAGCUCUCAGCAGUGCUGUAGUUUCAAACUCUAGCAAGUUGCUGUAUAAAAUAUUGCCAACACAGUUGUAUGCCAAUGGUCAAGUCAUAAAUAGUUCUGGUCUCUUCGAUAAUAAUUCAGCAAUAUCAAUGAUUAACAUAGAGUUAGCUGAUAGACUCGGUCUUGAAGGACAGAAAGAUAAGUUUACGCUGCAAAGGUUGGGGGCACUACGGUUACGCAACAGUCCAGCAGGGUCGAUGUACUGUAUAUCUGGAGUCAGUCGUUUCAAUAGAAAGUUUUUAUUGCGGAUCGUCAGGACUGUAGCCAAUCUUCAACUCCCAGCACAAACUCCACAGCAGAAUCGCCACUUGUCGAUCAAUAGAUGGAGCUGUACCGGAAUUGUUAAUCGGGUAAGAUAAAGCACACUCAGGAAUUUUAAGAAAGACUAUGUAAGGACCCCAAAAUCCGAGGCUUUUGGAGACUUCACAAUACACAUAAGCUUAUCUAAAAAUACAUUUGAAUUUAAAUGAAAUCAAUUAUAGUA
rnacentral:misc_RNA from 1 species